rnacentral:tRNA from 1 species
GGAGGGUAUAGCUCAGUGGUAGAGUGCCUGCCUAGCAUGCACGAGGUCCUGGGUUCAAUCCCCAGUACCUCCA